CAUGUGGAGCGCUUAGAAGUGAGAAUGCCGGUGUGAGUAGCGAAAGACGGGUGAGAAUCCCGUCCACCGAUUGACUAAGGUUUCCAGAGGAAGGCUCGUCCGCUCUGGGUUAGUCGGGUCCUAAGCUGAGGCCGACAGGCGUAGGCGAUGGAUAACAGGUUGAUAUUCCUGUACCACCUAUAAUCGUUUUAAUCGAUGGGGGGACGCAGUAGGAUAGGCGAAGCGUGCGAUUGGAUUGCACGUCUAAGCAGUAAGGCUGAGUAUUAGGCAAAUCCGGUACUCGUUAAGGCUGAGCUGUGAUGGGGAGAAGACAUUGUGUCUUCGAGUCGUUGAUUUCACACUGCCGAGAAAAGCCUCUAGAUAGAAAAUAGGUGCCCGUACCGCAAACCGACACAGGUAGUCAAGAUGAGAAUUCUAAGGUGAGCGAGCGAACUCUCGUUAAGGAACUCGGCAAAAUGACCCCGUAACUUCGGGAGAAGGGGUGCUCUUUAGGGUUAACGCCCAGAAGAGCCGCAGUGAAUAGGCCCAAGCGACUGUUUAUCAAAAACACAGGUCUCUGCUAAACCGUAAGGUGAUGUAUAGGGGCUGACGCCUGCCCGGUGCUGGAAGGUUAAGAGGAGUGGUUAGCUUCUGCGAAGCUACGAAUCGAAGCCCCAGUAAACGGCGGCCGUAACUAUAACGGUCCUAAGGUAGCGAAAUUCCUUGUCGGGUAAGUUCCGACCCGCACGAAAGGCGUAACGAUUUGGGCACUGUCUCAACGAGAGACUCGGUGAAAUCAUAGUACCUGUGAAGAUGCAGGUUACCCGCGACAGGACGGAAAGACCCCGUGGAGCUUUACUGUAGCCUGAUAUUGAAAUUCGGCACAGCUUGUACAGGAUAGGUAGGAGCCUUUGAAACGUGAGCGCUAGCUUACGUGGAGGCGCUGGUGGG
rnacentral:rRNA from 1 species